rnacentral:rRNA from 1 species
UACGUAGGUGGCGAGCGUUGUCCGGAUUUACUGGGCGUAAAGGGAGCGUAGGCGGGCUUUUAAGUGAGAUGUGAAAUACCCGGGCUCAACUUGGGUGCUGCAUUUCAAACUGGAAGUCUAGAGUGCAGGAGAGGAGAAUGGAAUUCCUAGUGUAGCGGUGAAAUGCGUAGAGAUUAGGAAGAACACCAGUGGCGAAGGCGAUUCUCUGGACUGUAACUGACGCUGAGGCUCGAAAGCGUGGGGAGCAAACAGGAUUAGAUACCCUGGUA